rnacentral:rRNA from 1 species
UACGGGGGGUGCGAGCGUUGUCCGGAAUCACUGGGCGUAAAGGGCGCGUAGGUGGUCUGAUAAGGGUGUGGUGAAAGUCCGGGGCUCAACCCCGGAUCUGCCGUGCCGACUGUCAGACUCGAGGGCUGUAGAGGCAGGCGGAAUUCCGGGUGUAGCGGUGGAAUGCGUAGAGAUCCGGAGGAAGACCGGUGGCGAAGGCGGCCUGCUGGGCAGUUUCUGACACUGAUGCGCGACAGCGUGGGGAGCAAACAGG